rnacentral:rRNA from 1 species
AAAGGGCGAGGGAAAACCGGACAAGCAACCUCUCGUACCUGAUCUUAAAGACUUCCAUUGCGUGUCCCUCUGUACAGCUUUGCAGGCUCCGGCCUCGGCAGCGGGGGGUUCAUAGUGGUCGUCGACCUCCACGAAACUGCUCGCCCCGGCGUGACAGCGUACUGGGGAUGCCUGUGUUUACGCAGUCCGGGCUUGCCUGGACCGCCAGCAGAUGGGCUCUGUGGAUGACUGGCCGCUGGCUAGACCUGAAACCUGAGCAACGGGAGGUAACCUCUCGCCGUGGACACCGGAAUGGUAGAAGCGGCGUGCUGCGUCCUCCUCUUGGGGCCCCUAAGCCACACCUCCCACAGCGGGUUCGGUGCGGCGGACGGACGCCCUGGGGAAUUUAGAGGGGGAAAGCGGAUUGCCCUAGCGGUGCUGUUGGCCCUGCCGACCUCACUGCGAAAGGCGCGACU